rnacentral:rRNA from 1 species
UACGUAGGUGGCAAGCGUUGUCCGGAUUUACUGGGCGUAAAGGGCGUGCAGGCGGUCUGUUAAGUGCAGGGUGAAAGCUCCCGGCUCAACUGGGAGAGGUCCUUGCAUACUGGCGGACUUGAGGGGGGUAGAGGAAAGUGGAAUUCCCGGUGUAGUGGUGAUAUGCGUAGAGAUCCGGAGGAACACCAGUGGCGAAGGCGACACGCUGGGCCGUACCUGACGCUAAAGCGCGACAGCAUGGGGAGCAAACGGG